rnacentral:ncRNA from 1 species
UCCCCCGCUACUCCUCCCUGAGCGGGUACCCGUCGCCCUUCUUGGCGGGAAUGUUCCUCCCCGUUGCAUGCAACGGGGUUUUUUUU